AAUGUGUGUGUGUGUGUGUGUGUAUAUGUCAGGUGAGUCUCUAACCAGGGCCAACAGUCACGUCAGUGGAGUGUUUGUUAAUAAUCUUAAUCUUGCUGGCAAAGCCAUUCUUCUCUACAAUGCAUUGUGCAGCAUCGGCCAUAGGCUU